rnacentral:rRNA from 1 species
UACGGAGGGUGCGAGCGUUGUCCGGAAUCAUUGGGCGUAAGGGCGCGUAGGUGGCCCGGUCAGUUCGUGGUGAAAGCGCGGGGCUCAACCCUGCGUCGGCCAUGAAUACUGCCGCGGCUGGAGCACUGUAGAGGCAGGCGGAAUUCCGGGUGUAGCGGUGGAAUGCGUAGAGAUCCGGAAGAACACCGGUGGCGAAGGCGGCCGCUGGGCAGUGCUGACACUGAGGCG